AUGAGGUGCUUGCUAUGUUGCCUAGGCUGGUCUUGAACUUCUGGCCUCAAGAAAUCCUCCUCCUGAUCCUCCUGCCUCAGCCUCCCAAAGUGUUGGGAUUACAGCACUGGCUAGAACUUCCAUCCCUGUGGUGAAUAAGAGUGAUGAAAGUGGACACCAUCGUAUUAUUGAAUUGAAGGGACACCUCUGAAAACGUGUUUAGAGAGAGAGUGAAGAAUGAGGGUGUACCUGGUGGAGCCACCAUCCUCUGCCACUUCUGAAACAAGCAGGUCUUCAGGCAGUCUCGGGGACUGAGGUUGUAAGUUUUAUGUCUCGACAUCAGUUCCUGCAUUGGCUCCAAUAUUACACACAACUGCAAGAAGUUCAAAGACAUUGGCAUUUCACUACUUUAUAACACUAAUAAUUACAAUAAAUAAUGCUAACAGCUGGAAUCAAGUA
rnacentral:antisense_RNA from 1 species